UGAACAAUACAGAAGAUCCUCUUUUGAGGGGUCUUCCUCUUGCUUUCCAGACUGGCAGCCUCCAGAAAGCAAUCUGCAUCGUGGAGAUGGCUCUAUGGGUAAAGGACUCGCCUUCAAGCAAGGUGACCAGAGGUGGGGCCAUCAUCAUACAUGUGAGUACCAGGGUUACUGGACAUUGAUCAUAAGGAAGGAUCUGUGGGAAGACAAUCACAAGCUGAACAUCAAGAUUAUUUCCAAUGAAAAAAAGACCAGAGAACACUUCAUCCCAAGUCACUGACGACCAGAAACUUGUAUUUCAGAACAACAGUAACAAGAUGUAUAUAUGGAGGUGUGAAUUCCACUUCUAGAAUUAACUAGGUCAAAAGUUUUUGCUGUUGCAUCCAAAUAAACCAAGAUAAGAAUCCACCGAGCGACCUUAUCCCUCUCGAGAAGCCAGCACUCACAUCCAGAGUGUGCAGUCUUUCCUUCCUUGACUUUUUUUUCCCCUUAAGUCUAAACCUAAAACUAUGCUAGAGACUUUUCUUAAUAUAGACCUCAACCCUUCCUCAAGAUUAAAAAAGAAUCCAUAUUCUGAUUCCUUUUUAUGAAAAUUGUAGCAUCAUAGCUAGAAUUACUUAGUUUGAACUGAAAUAGGAAUCCAUACCAGGGUCUCUUUUUAGACAAAAACCACUGAU
ensembl:antisense Gm43507 predicted gene 43507